rnacentral:rRNA from 1 species
AACGUAGGUGGCGAGCGUUAUCCGGAUUUACUGGGCGUAAAGCGUGUGUAGGCGGCCAUGUAAGUCAGGUGUGAAAGCCCCGGGCUCAACCCGGGAAGUGCAUUUGAUACUGCGUGGCUUGAGUAUCGGAGAGGUUGGUGGAAUUCUCGGUGUAGAGGUGAAAUUCGUAGAUAUCGAGAGGAACACCGGUGGCGAAGGCGGCCAACUGGACGAAUACUGACGCUGAGACACGAAAGCGUGGGGAGCAAACAGG